rnacentral:lncRNA from 1 species
CGGAACCGGUCGGACAGACGAGUUCGGGAACCCGGUUCAGCACGGCGUGGCGGAUACCGGGUACGGAACUGGUGCAGGGUACGGCACUCAUACAAAACCUGGUGUUGUUGAGCACCACGGCGUCCCUGCUGUGCUUCAUUCCAAGGAUGACCAGUACUCUCGUGAUACCCAGACAACCACUGGAGGUUACGGUGGGGACGGGUACACAGGAGGAGAGCACCAGGAGAAGAAGGGUUUACUAGGCCAACUCCAGGACAAGCUGCCAGGUGGGAACAAGGAUGGCCAGUACUCUCAUGACACCCAGACAACCACUGGAGCUUACGGUGGGGCCGGCUACACAGGAGGAGAGCACCACGAGAAGAAGGGUAUAAUAGGCCAAGUUAAGGACAAGCUGCCAGGUGGGCAAAAGGAUGACCAGUACUGUCGUGACACCCACCCAACCACUGGAGCUUACGGUGGCGCCGGCUACACAGGAGGAGAGGACCACGAGAAGAAGGGUAUAAUAGGCCAAGUCAAAGACAAGCUGCCAGGUGGGCAAAAGGAUGACCAGUACUGUCGUGACACCCACCCAACCACUGGAGCUUACGGUGGGGCCGGCUACACAGGAGGAGAGCACCAGGAGAAGAAGGGUAUAAUAGGCCAAGUUAAGGACAAGCUGCCAGGUGGGCAAAAGGAUGAUCAGUACUCUCAUGACACCCACAAAACUACUGGAGCUUACGGUGGGGCCGGAUACACAGGAGAUGAUACCCGGGAGAAGAAGGGUAUAAUAGGCCAAGUGAAGGACAAGCUGCCAGGUGGGCAAAAGGAUGACCAUUACUCUCAUGACACCCACCCAACAACUGGAGCUUACGGUGGGGCCGGGUACACAGGAGAUGAUACCCGGGAGAAGAAGGGUAUAAUAGACCAAGUAAAGGACAAGCUGCCGGGUGGGCAAAAGGAUGACCAUUACUCUCAUGAGACCCACCCAACCACUGGAGCUUACGGUGGGGCAGGGUACACAGGAGAUGAUACACGGGAGAAGAAGGGUGUAGUGGAGAAAGUGAAGGAGAAGCUGCCAGGUGGGCAAAAUGUGCACCCAACCACUGGACCUUACGGUGGGGGUGGGGCCGCGGGCAUAGGAGAGACCCGGGAGAGGAAGGGUGUAGGGGAGAAAGUGAAGGAGAAGCUGCCAGGUGGACAUAAGGAUGACCAGUACCUUCAUGACACCCACCCAACCAAGCCAACCAGUGCAGCUCACGGUGGGGUCGGGCACACAGGAGGAGAGCCCCAGCUCCAUGAGAAGAAGGGGUUGAUUGAGAAAAUCAAAGACAAGCUUCCUGGUCACAACAACUAGAUGGAAUGGAUCAUCAUUUGGACUUCCUAUCAGAUAAUUAUCUGCUGUGCUGCUGUGUAUAAUAAAUCGGUGCUUGUUGUUGGUCUGUGACCACCGAGCAUUGUACAAUGUCGUAUUUUGUAAUAUUUGGAUGUCGUUUGUGUUAUAGUAUAAAUGUGCUCUUCUGAGUACAGUGUUUUGCUUUUGUAACUAUUUAUUGUCUGCUGCUUUCAAGUAUAAAUCUCAAUAAUGCACAUAUAUUAUUAUUAUUAUUUUGUGAUGAAAUAGGUUUGUCUAAAUGAAAUCUUAACCAAGGGUUGAAAAUCAAAUUUU